AAAAUGCUGAUAUGAAUCCGGGCUAGGGGGUGGGAUUUGAAUCCGGCCGAGCUAUCCCACAUUUCAGGAUCUGCAUUUUACAUUUUUAUCCUCAAAUUAGCACUCUCUCUAUCCCUCUCGAAAAAUUAGCACUCUCACUCUCUCUUUUCUCUCUCGAUGGAGUCCUGCUGGGUAUCGGAUCGUAUUCUUCAUUUCUGCAACACUUUUCGAGCCAAGAAUUUGAGCCAGCGACAUAGAAAUCAAGCAGAAAAAAAGAAAUAAAAGAAAAGAUGCAGAUCUUCGUUAAAACCCUUUUACUGGAAAAACAAUCACGCUCGAGGUCGAGAGCAGCGACACCAUCGACAAUGUCAAGGCCAAGAUUCAGGUUUUGAGUGUGCAGACAUGCUUUGAGAAGUCAUAAGCUUCAUGUUUGUGGUUGGGAUUCCUUCGGUUGGAUGCUCGUUUGCAAAGUGCAUUGGCUCAUGAAUAGAGCCAACUGAUACCAUUGACAGAAUUAAGGAACGGGUUGAGGAGAAAGAAGGAAUUCCUCCAGUGCAGCAAAGGCUCAUUUAUGCUGGCAGACGACAAAACUGCCAAAGACUACAACAUUGAGGGUGGCUCUGUUCUUCAUCUGGUCCUUGCUUUGAGGGGUGGUAGUCUAUCGGCUUCUGCUUAGGAAAUUCGCAAUAAACUGAGUUUAAAUUUCAUGUACUCAUGGGAUAUGAGUGAAUUCUGCUAAAAAAGCAGUUUGAGUUCCGACUCCAUUCCCUAUGUAUUUCUUGCUUUUCUUCUUUUUCCUUGGCUGAAAGAGGUUGUAAUCAUCAGUUCACUGGGCUGACUCCUAUCCCCAUAUGGUAAUUUGUAACUCCAGUUCAUUGCGAAUAUUUUACUUGUGUUAAUUAUUACGGAAGAAAUUAAAUCUUGAAAAUU